rnacentral:rRNA from 1 species
GAUGAACGCUAGCGGCAGGCUUAAUACAUGCAAGUCGAGGGACAGCACAGGUAGCAAUACUGGGUGGUAACCGGCAAACGGGUGCGGAACACGUACACAACCUUCCUUUAAGUGGGGGAUAGCCCAGAGAAAUUUGGAUUAAUACCACGUAAUAUAGUUGAAUGGCAUCAUUUGAUUAUUAUAGCUACGGCGCUUAAUGAUGGGUGUGCGGCUGAUUAGAUAGUUGGCGGGGUAACGGCCCUCCAAGUCUACGAUCAGUAGCUGAUGUGAGAGCAUGAUCAGCCACACGGGCACUGAGACACGGGCCCGACUCCUACGGGAGGCAGCGGUAAGGAAUAUUGGUCAAUGGACGCAAGUCUGAACCAGCCAUGCCGCGUGAAGGAUUAAGGUCCUCUGGAUUGUAAACUUCUUUUAUUUGGGACGAAAAAGGGCCUUUCUAGGUCAACUGACGGUACCAGAUGAAUAAGCACCGGCUAACUCCGUGCCAGCAGCCGCGGUAACAC